UUCCCCUACCAGUACGGAGUGAAAUUGUGAUAACUCCUGGCACAACCAUUAAGACCCUCAUCUAUAGUGAAUUGGAACAAAGCACAGGAAGUUUUAAUAAAAGAAAUCUGAGGCCUGGAAUUCCAUGUCUACCAUUCCUCACAGCAAACCUGUGACUGUAACACAGAUUGAUGAAAGAUUCUGCAGGACGACAAAGGUUAAAGAUGCAGACCCGGAGCUAGAAGCCAGCACUGACACUGAUGGAGUGGACUGCGAUGAGAAUGCCCACAUUAUUGUCCUAUCCUCUGAUAACCAAUGUAAUAUGAAAACCGACUACAGAAGAAAGGAACAAAUUAAGUCCAUUAAUCAAGCAUAUCUCUGCUAAACAGUUGUUCGAAACUGAUGAACAAAUGAAAAAUUUACUGUUUGUUUUCAUGCUUGCAAGGAUUGGGGAAGAAAAUUAAUUAUAAGGUA